rnacentral:rRNA from 1 species
GACGAACCGUCCAAACGUUAUUCGGAAUUACUGGGCUUAAAGGGUGCGUAGGCGGCGCGGUAAGUUGGGUGUGAAAUCCCUCGGCUCAACCGAGGAAUUGCGCUCGAUACUGCCGUGCUCGAGGGAGACAGAGGUGAGCGGAACUUAGGGUGGAGCGGUGAAAUGCGUUGAUAUCCUAAGGAACACCAGUGGCGAAAGCGGCUCACUGGGUCUCUUCUGACGCUGAGGCACGAAAGCUAGGGGAGCGAACGGG